CUAUUUCCCCCUCUCCCAUCUAGUCUGGAAAGACAUAAGAGGAUCGCUUUCUGUGGAUGACGACGUACCCUCUGGCGAGAGUGUUGAUGCGAAUAUUUGUUAAGGGUCACCUAUGUUAAGUACUGUCAUGAUUUUAGAUAUCUGAUAGGACCGCUAUGGUUGGUACAACCGUGGUUGUAAAUUAUACCAUAGUUUGGCCAGUUGAAAUUGUGUAUGAGCAAAUUGUUGUUAUCUGUAUCUGAUCUGGUCAUUCUAUAUAGGUAGUUGGAAAUCUGUAUUUGCCUUCAG
rnacentral:lncRNA from 1 species